rnacentral:rRNA from 1 species
GACGACGGGUAGCCGGCCUGAGAGGGUGACCGGCCACACUGGGACUGAGAUACGGCCCAGACUCCUACGGGAGGCAGCAGUGGGGAAUAUUGCACAAUGGGCGCAAGCCUGAUGCAGCGACGCCGCGGGAGGGAUGACGGCCUUCGGGUUGUAAACCUCUUUCGCCAGGGACGAAGCGCAAGUGACGGUACCUGGAGAAGAAGGACCGGCCAACUACGUGCCAGCAGCCGCGGUAAUACGUAGGGUCCGAGCGUU